rnacentral:rRNA from 1 species
UACGUAGGUGGCAAGCGUUGUCCGGAAUUAUUGGGCGUAAAGCGCGCGCAGGCGGUCCUUUAAGUCUGAUGUGAAAGCCCACGGCUCAACCGUGGAGGGUCAUUGGAAACUGGGGGACUUGAGUGCAGGAGAGAAGAGUGGAAUUCCACGUGUAGCGGUGAAAUGCGUAGAGAUGUGGAGGAACACCAGUGGCGAAGGCGACUCUUUGGCCUGCAACUGACGCUGAGGCGCGAAAGCGUGGGGAGCAAACAGG